rnacentral:rRNA from 1 species
GACGAACGCUGGCGGCGUGCUUAACACAUGCGAGUCGAACGGAAAGGCCCUGCUUUUGUGGGGUGCUCGAGUGGCGAACGGGUGAGUAACACGUGAGUAACCUGCCCUUGACUUUGGGAUAACUUCAGGAAACUGGGGCUAAUACCGGAUAGGAGCUCCUGCUGCAUGGUGGGGGUUGGAAAGUUUCGGCGGUUGGGGAUGGACUCGCGGCUUAUCAGCUUGUUGGUGGGGUAGUGGCUUACCAAGGCUUUGACGGGUAGCCGGCCUGAGAGGGUGACCGGCCACAUUGGGACUGAGAUACGGCCCAGACUCCUACGGGAGGCAGCAGUGGGGAAUAUUGCACAAUGGGCGGAAGCCUGAUGCAGCAACGCCGCGUGCGGGAUGACGGCCCUCGGGUUGUAAACCGCUUUCGCCUGUGACGAAGCGUGAGUGACGGUAAUGGGUAAAGAAGCACCGGCUAACUACGUG